rnacentral:rRNA from 1 species
GGAGGGAGGCGAGGAAGGAGGGUUUGGGAUUGAGGGUGAGGGGGCUAAGUCUAGCUUAGCUACCGCCGCGGCGUGAGGGAAGGUGGCGGCGGAGGGUCCUAGGUCUAGGGAAGACGGCGGCGGUGAGGCGAGGGCUAGGUCUGGGGGAACGACAGCGGAAGGAGAAACGGUGUGGAGAGGGGAGCGCCGGCGGAGGGAGAGGUGGUGGGUGGAGAGGGGAGCGGCGACCAGACGGUGUAGACCGUUGCAACUCCGGUCGCCCGCGACCUAGGCCGUGGUCGCACCGGGGAGGUAGUCGUUGAGCUUGUCCCACAGCCGCCGCGGUACCGAAGGGGGUUGGGGUGCUACACCCGGACUCGGUGGGCGACCGGAGCCGAUCCGGGGCCUGUUCGUCGGCGCGCCCUACUGCUGGUAGUAGCUGUGGGAGGUCUACUACAGCCUCCGCCGAGGGCCACCUGACCUCGCCUGUCUCACCAGCCUCCAGCAGCGCGAGCCGCUACACCACAGGUCCGUCCGGUGGCAGUGACCCUACCAGACCUCGCCUCUGAACGGACCACACCUUUGCGAGUUCCUCUUGUAACGACGCAUAAAGUUACAGGACGUCCCAAAGGAAAACCGGAUAGUACCUUCGUGCUAGCCACGGCCAGGAUGUGAAGUGUUCAUAUAGUGAUCAAGACGUUUUCCGCACCACCUACGGUCGAAGAGCAACAAGUUCGAUCAACAAAGACGGAUACAUAGCCGCUGUUGUUCUUCCGGACCUUCUCGCUUGUGACGUCCAUACACGUCAGCGACGGUUCGAAAGACUAUAAUAAUCGGAUGGUCUAUUAAAGAUUAUAACGGAAAACCACUAAUAUCCCGUGACUUCUAUUUCGAAUGUCUUUCUUUAUUUCUACCGGUAUAAGAGUGUAUGAGGACCUAAAGUAAAUGUAGUUGAAGAGUUCUGUCCUCAUGAGGAAAAAUCAUCAGAGUCAAAUUUCAUUUAAUUUACUUUCCUCAUGAGGAAAAGUCAACAGAGUCAAAUUUCACUUACUUUCCUCAUGAACGAGGGACAUGAUCAAUGAAGAUGAUGAAUGAAAAUCGACAAAUCAUGAUGAGACAUCUAGACACUAUGAUCAGAUCAGCGAACAUAUUAAAACAAAUAAUCACAUUGGACUUGGUACCUCAUCAUGGGACAAGCGUAUACACACUAAUACACACAAAAUAUCAGAGAUCGAGGUCAUGUACACUUUAUAUACAACACCACAUUUAGUAAAAGUAAGAUAGAAUAUUUGCACAAAGAAGUUAUCGAUAAAGACAAGUUAAGAACAACAGUGACUACAAUCGUAAAUCAAACAGAGUUCAAUUUUUUUAUGACUUUUAUGUCACAUGUUUAGUCGGGUUUAUACACUCGGAGCUAAGACUUUUGAUUUCUCAAGUAUAUAACCAUCUAUCUGACACUAAAUCCUAUACGAUUUGUCUUUCGAAAUAUUCUACCUUGAGAGUUAUAGUACUGAAGUGAAACAGAAAUUAAAUUAUACAAAUCUUGAUGGUACCAAAAAAUUCAUCAACCCCGUAAUUCUUUGUCAUACGACCUACAAACCGGAACGUAGGCAGGAAGGUACUUAAGUACGAACACGUAACGAUCAAUAACGAAAAAAACGUCCAGAAGAAGAAGGAGCUAGACCACGUCGUUGUUGUUAAGUUCCAGUACCAGUACCUCGUCAUCGGUAUAUA